rnacentral:rRNA from 1 species
GACAGAGGUUGCAAACGUUGUUCGGAAUCACUGGGCAUAAAGCGCACGUAGGCGGUCUGUUAAGUCAGGGGUGAAAGCCCCCGGCUCAACCGGGGAAUUGCAUUUGAUACUGGCAGGCUCGAGAACGGUAGGGGUGAGUGGAACUCCAGGUGGAGCGGUGAAAUGCGUAGAUAUCGGGAGGAACACCAGUGGCGAAGGCGACUACCUGGCCUGUUCUUGACGCUGAGGCGCGAAAGCUAGGGGGGCAAACGGG